rnacentral:lncRNA from 1 species
GCAAUGUCCUGAGGACACAAAGCAAAAGUGAAGCAUAUUGGAAUUUGUCCAAGGUCUAUGGUUCUUUGCUAACAUUUUUCCCCAAGAUGGAGAUGCCUCGUUUAGAUUUGUGUUGUGACUACCGCCAAUGUCUGUGGAACACCAUGACCAGUUUGUGAGCUGACUUGGAAGAAUGUCAUCCAGCCCAAGUUGAGCCAUCUCAGCUGAAAUUAUAUUAUGAGAUCCUGGGCAGCAAGCAAGUGCACGCUGAGCAGAGACUUUUACAUGCCUCAGAAAGAUGAGAAAAGUGAGCCCCAGAAUGGCAGAAAAUGAAACAAUGCAAAAUUUUUAGAUAGAAAAAAG